rnacentral:lncRNA from 1 species
CUCCUCCCCUGCCUCACCCCUCCCCUGCGCCAACUCCAGCCACCUGCCCAGUCCAGCCGCUGCAGGUGUCUGAGCAGCUUGUGAGCUAAGAACCGUUCUACAUUUUUAAGUGGCUGGAGGAAAAAGUCAAAAGAAGACUGUUUUGUGUCCCAGGAACAUGAUAUGAAAUUCAGAUCUCGGCGUCCAUAAAUAAAGUUUUAUUGGCACACGGCCCUUGGUUUGCCCACUGUGGAUGGCUGCUUUGUGCUCCGGGGGCUCAGUGGAGCAGUUGCCACGAGACGGUGGGGCCUGCAAGCCCUGAGAUAUCAGCUCUCGGGCCCUUUGGAAAAGGAGGCAUUUGCUGACCUUGGUCUAGAUCCUGCUUCAGGUGAAGGAGAUCAGGGCCAAGGUCCUUCUCAGCCUCUUCCCCUCCGUGACCUUCCCUUGGUCCUGUGGACCACAUUAGCACCAUGACCAGCUCGUGUGUCACAGGGUGCAGGCUGGCUGACACCAGCUCUCUGUUAUAUCCUCGUCCCCUUCUUGCUCAAGUAGCUGGACCUUGGCAUUUAGGUUGAAUCCCCCAUCAUUGGACACUGACUUCAGUAUGAACUUUAAGUAUUAAAUACUGAAAGCCGCCCAUUCGCCACUUGGAAUCCAGUUUUCUCAUCUGUAAAGUAGGAGACCUGUUCCCUCAGGCCUCUGACCAUUAGGAGAGGAAGGACCCUAAGACCUCGCCAGGCAGUGUGGGGUCAUCCAUCGGCCAAUACAUUGAAAAGGCAUUUUGAGGACACGAUAGGCUCCAAACUCAGAGACUGUGGGUGUGAUUUCAGCCCAAAUGUGCUUUACGAGUAUGCACCUUUUCUAAAAAAGAAAAAAAAAAUAGCUAAAAAGUCUGCGUAGAUCUAACAGUCCACAGACCCUACCUAACUGGCCCUCGUGGGCAGCUGAGUCACCCUUGGAUGGAGAGUUAUGGCCAUGAUUCCCAGGAGCCCUAAAGAAGUCUCUGCCAAAAGAAAUCUCCUUCAUGUUGGGUUAGGCCCCAACUUCCUUAACAAGACUCCCACAGAGCAAGAAAUAAAAUCAAGAAUCAAUAAAUGGGAUGGAUUCACACUAAAAAGGUUCUUCUCAGAAAAAAAAAAAACCAAUCAUGAGGUGAAGAGAGAGCCUACAGAAUGGGAGGAAAUUUUCACCACACUCAUAUCAGGUAGAGCACUGAUCUUCAGGAUAUAUGAAGGACUCAGAAAUCUUAACUCCAGAAAAAAAACAAAACAGUGUGUGAACAGGCUAAGGGACUGAACAGACACUUCUCAGAAGAAGAUAUGCAUGCAAUCAAAGAUAUAUGAAAAAGUGCUCAACAUCUUUAGUCAUCAGAGAAAUGCAAAUCAAAACGAAGACUUCAUCUCACCCAGUCAGAAUGACAAUCUUCAAGAAUACAAGCAAUAAUAAGUGUUGGACAGGAGGUGGGGACCAGGCACACUCCUACACGGCUGGUGGGACUGCAAAUCAGCAGUGUGGAGAUUCCUCAGAAAACUGGGAAUGGAACCACCGUUUGACCCCGCUGUCCCACUUUAAGGACUUAAAAUCAGCAUACUAUGGUGACGCAGCCACACCAAUGUUUAUAGCAGCUGAAUUCACAGUGACUAAACUGUGGAACCGACCUAGAUGCCCAUCAAUCCAUGAAGGAUAAGAAACUGUGGCGUAUAUACACAAUGGAAUUUGACUCAGCAUUAAAAGAGAAUAAAACUGUGGCAUUAAAAGAGAAUAAAAUGGAUGGAGUUGGAGAAGAUUAUGCUAAGUGAAGUAAGCCAAUCCCCCCCAAAACUGAAGGCUGAAUGUCUUCUCUGAUUAGUGGAUGCUGCUGAUCUAUGAUGGGGGGAGAACUUGGAUUGGGCAAAGGGGAGGUGGGGAGGGGUAGGAGAGAUGGUGGUACACGUACGACUGCACGGAUGGUGCCUCUCUACACCGGGUACAACCAGAGAAUUGAAAUGUCGUGCUCCGUCUGUUUCGUCUUGUUUGCUGAUAUUUAUUCUUAGUUGUAGGUGGACACAAUAACAUGCGGUGCCAAGGAUCGAACCGGUGCCUCACGCGCGGUGGGCGAGCGCUCUGCCCCGGAGCUCCACCCCAGCCCUGUGGCGCCCCGUUUGUGCGCGAGGAAUUGACAGGCGUCUGCUGUCAGGUGCAACAACAACAACAAAGAUUAAAACAGAACAGAGCGGCCCAGAGAUGACCUCCCCCGUCACUUCACUCACUGGGGCGAACCCUGCCCCGGCAACCUACCAAGCCCAGAGUCACGGAGCCUGAGCCGCCUGGAGUCUGCAGACGACCCCAACUGCCCCAGGGGUCCUCCCGGGGUGGGAGCCCGACUUUGCUGGUUUAAGAACGGUUCCCCACGCGGAUCUCAGGCAGAGUUUGUCUCUGAGGCAAUAGAGAAGGAGCAGGGCUUGUCCGCGGCUUGUCUCCAGGUACCUGAGGGUCGGUGUGGGGAUCGCGACCUCAAGGGGUUCCUACACCCAUGUGGGUCACAGAGAUGGCCUGGCCACCACUGUCAAGGAAACAGAGCGGAUCAGAAGAUCCGCUUGAUCUUGGGCUUGAUCUCCUGAUCCGUGGACAGACCCUGUUUCCUUCCUACCUUCUGGAACACCUAGGAAUAUGUAACGAGCAGUGGACGGGAGCUCCUGGAAAUGUGGCAAGUGAUGAGCUAUUUAUUUUUCAGAGAUUAUCCCAAUUCCAGAAAAGACAAGCCCCAAAGUUAUAAUUCUCCUUCAAAAUCAUUAUUUUAAAUACAAUCAUUUUU